AUCCAAAUCUAUGCUCUCUUCUUAACUCUCCCUCGUUAAACCCUAAUUCUUCAAAUCCCUUCCCUCUCAUAAACCUUAAUUCUACAUUUCUACUCUUCUCCCUGUCUUUCUCUCCAAAACCCGAGACCGAACCAUGUACCUUUACAGUCUUACGCUGCAACGAGCGACCGGCAUCGUCUCCGCAAUCAACGGCAGUUUUUCCGGCGGCAAGACCCAAGAAAUUGUAGUAGCUCGUGGAAAGGUACUUGAUCUACUCCGCCCCGACGAGAACGGUAAGCUUCAGACCAUUCUCUCUGUUGAAAUCUUCGGUGCUAUUCGCUCUCUAGCUCAGUUCAGACUAACUGGAUCUCAAAAGGACUAUAUAGUUGUUGGGUCUGAUUCAGGAAGAAUCGUAAUUCUAGAAUAUAACAAGGAGAGAAAUGUUUUUGAUAAAAUACACCAGGAAACUUUUGGGAAAUCUGGGUGUCGCCGGAUUGUUCCGGGCCAGUUUUUGGCCAUUGACCCGAAAGGAAGAGCUGUGAUGAUAGGUGCAUGUGAGAAACAGAAGUUAGUUUAUGUUUUGAAUAGAGAUACUGCUGCUAGGUUGACUAUAUCCUCACCGUUAGAGGCGCAUAAGUCUCAUACUAUUGUGUAUUCAAUUAGUGGUGUUGAUUGUGGGUUUGAUAACCCAAUAUUUGCGGCUAUUGAGUUGGAUUAUUCAGAGGCAGACCAGGAUUCGACAGGGCAGGCUGCUAGUGAGGCACAGAAGCAUUUGACGUUUUAUGAACUUGAUUUAGGGCUUAAUCAUGUGUCUAGGAAGUGGUCUGAGCAGGUUGAUAAUGGGGCAAAUAUGCUUGUUACAGUGCCUGGAGGUGGAGAUGGACCAAGUGGAGUUUUGGUUUGUGCUGAGAAUUUUGUAAUUUAUAAGAAUGAGGGGCAUCCAGAUGUGAGAGCAGUGAUUCCUAGGCGCGCAGAUUUACCUGCUGAGCGAGGAGUUUUGAUAGUUUCUGCAGCUACUCAUAAGCAGAAAUCCAUGUUUUUCUUUCUUUUGCAGACAGAAUAUGGUGAUAUUUUUAAGGUUACAUUGGAUCAUGAGAAUGAUAAGGUUAAGGAGUUGAAAAUUAAGUAUUUUGAUACAAUUCCUGUUACUGCUUCAAUGUGUGUGUUAAAAUCAGGGUUUUUGUUUGCUGCAUCAGAGUUUGGGAAUCAUGCACUGUAUCAAUUUCAGGCAAUUGGGGAGGAAGCUGAUGUGGAGGCCUCAUCAGCUACUUUAAUGGAAACUGAGGAAGGUUUCCAGCCUGUGUUUUUCCAGCCAAGAGGGUUGAAGAAUCUUGUUAGAAUUGACCAGGUGGAGAGCUUGAUGCCUAUUAUGGAUAUGAAGGUUGCUAAUCUUUUUGAUGAGGAAACCCCUCAGAUAUUUUCACUUUGUGGGCGUGGUCCUCGGUCCUCAUUGAGGAUAUUGAGGCCAGGUUUGGCCAUUAGUGAGAUGGCUGUUUCACAGCUUCCGGGUGUACCAAGUGCAGUCUGGACUGUGAAAAAGAAUGUUAAUGAUGAGUUUGAUGCAUAUAUUGUUGUGUCCUUCAACAAUGCAACUCUUGUGCUUUCAAUUGGAGAAACAGUUGAGGAAGUUAGUGACAGUGGGUUUCUUGAUACUACGCCUUCCAUAGCUGUUUCUUUGAUAGGUGAUGAUUCUUUGAUGCAAGUUCACCCAAAUGGCAUCAGGCAUAUAAGGGAAGAUGGGCGUAUAAAUGAAUGGAGGACUCCUGGAAAGAGAACAAUUGUGAAGGUUGGCUCCAAUAGACUUCAAGUCGUUAUUGCUUUAAGUGGAGGGGAGCUUAUAUAUUUUGAGGUUGAUGUUACUGGUCAGCUAAUGGAGGUGGAAAAGCAUGAGAUGUCUGGAGAUGUUGCCUGUUUGGAUAUUGCCCCUGUUCCAGAAGGAAGACAGAGGUCCCGAUUCCUUGCAGUUGGUUCAUAUGACAACACCAUCCGUAUCUUAUCUUUGGAUCCUGAUGAUUGUAUGCAAAUUCUAAGUGUUCAAAGUGUUUCAGCACCUCCCGAAUCCCUCCUCUUUCUCGAGGUUCAGGCAUCAGUAGGUGGGGAGGAUGGUGCUGAUCAUCCUGCUAGCCUUUUCCUUAAUGCUGGUUUGCAGUCUGGGGUUCUAUUCAGGACAGUGGUGGACAUGGUGACAGGCCAGCUUUCUGAUUCUCGUUCCCGGUUCUUGGGCUUGAGGGCACCAAAACUCUUCUCCGUUGUUGUGAGAGGCCGACGUGCAAUGUUGUGCUUAUCAAGUCGACCCUGGCUUGGUUAUAUUCACCAAGGGCAUUUCCUUUUAACACCCCUUUCAUAUGAGACUCUUGAAUUUGCUGCUUCAUUCUCAUCUGAUCAGUGUGCGGAAGGUGUUGUGGCUGUAGCUGGGGAUGCACUGAGGAUUUUUACCAUUGAAAGGUUGGGUGAGACAUUUAAUGAAACCGCAAUACCUCUGAGGUACACUCCAAGAAAGUUUGUGGUUCAACCUAAGAAGAAACUUUUGGUUAUUAUUGAGAGUGACCAAGGAGCAUAUACAGCAGAGGAGCGUGAAGCUGCCAAAAAGGAGUGUUUUGAGGCUGCUGGGAUGGGGGAAAAUGGAAGUGCCAAUGCUGACCAGAUGGAGAAUGGUGGUGAGGAUGAAGAUAAAGAUGAUCCACUCUCUGAUGAGCAGUAUGGUUAUCCAAAGACAGAAUCAGAAAAGUGGGUUUCUUGCAUCAGAGUUCUUGACCCAAGGACAGCAUCCACAACUUGUCUGCUAGAGCUUCAGGACAAUGAAGCUGCAUUUAGUGUGUGCACAGUAAACUUCCAUGACAAGGAGCAUGGAACUCUUUUAGCUGUUGGUACUGCAAAGGGACUCCAGUUUUGGCCCAAAAGAAGUUUAGUUGCUGGGUUCAUUCACAUCUAUAAGUUUGUGGAUGAUGGCAGAACCCUGGAACUUUUGCAUAAGACACAAGUGGAAGGUGUGCCACUUGCAUUAUGCCAGUUUCAGGGAAGACUGCUUGCUGGGAUAGGAUCAGUGCUCAGACUGUAUGACUUGGGGAAGAAGAGGUUGCUUAGGAAAUGUGAGAAUAAGUUGUUCCCUAACACUAUAGUUUCUAUUCACACUUAUCGUGAUAGGAUCUACGUUGGUGAUAUUCAAGAGUCAUUCCAUUUCUGCAAGUAUAGGCGGGAUGAAAAUCAGCUCUACAUGUUUGCGGACGAUUGUGUUCCAAGAUGGAUUACUGCAUCAUACCACAUAGAUUUUGAUACUGUGGCAGGUGCUGACAAGUUUGGGAAUGUCUAUUUUGUGCGGUUGCCACAGGAUGUUUCUGAUGAGAUAGAGGAAGAUCCGACUGGCGGAAAAAUAAAGUGGGAACAGGGAAAGCUUAAUGGAGCCCCAAACAAGGUAGAGGAGAUUGUACAGUUUCAUGUUGGUGAUGUGAUUACUAGCCUGCAUAAAGCAUCCCUAAUUCCUGGUGGUGGAGAGUGCAUCAUAUAUGGGACGGUGAUGGGGAGCUUGGGGGCACUGCUUCCGUUCACCUCUCGCGAUGAUGUUGACUUCUUUUCACACUUGGAGAUGCAUUUGAGGCAGGACCACCCACCAUUGUGUGGAAGAGACCAUAUGGCAUAUAGAUCUGCGUAUUUUCCAGUUAAGGAUGUGAUUGAUGGGGAUUUAUGUGAGCAGUUCCCAACACUUCCUCUUGAUAUGCAGAGAAAAAUUGCUGAUGAAUUGGAUAGAACUCCUGGGGAGAUACUGAAGAAACUUGAAGAAGUUCGAAAUAAAAUAAUUUAAGGUGUUUUAGUAAUGGAGUUCAUUAGGAUCAAUAUCAGUGGCAGACUGAGGUGAAAUGUGCUUUGGAAUAGUCUAGGAAAUGCAGACGUUAUAUUAGACAGUGGCAGACCUUAAUGCAAAGAUCGGCCUUGUGUAUUUUCAUUGGUGGAAAAAGCUACCUGGAAGUUUUUUUGGUUGACAGAAGUCAUUAUUAGAACCUUUUGAAGUAGCCCUUUCUGUAGAUGUAUUGUCAUUUGUGAAUGCAACGUCUUAGAAUCUAUUGUUUUGCCUGGCAUCUAUGAAAAUGGGUAACACCGUAUAAGAUGUUAAUGGAUGUUGUAACUAGCCUAGAUAGUUUAGCUGUUUCUGUAUGAUUAAGUUUGAAAAUUUGGAAUAUCUCGAGAAGAAGAAAUCCGCUCCAAGGCACAUUUUAAG
rnacentral:misc_RNA from 1 species